rfam:Dipodomys ordii contig_49926, whole genome shotgun sequence.
GGUGGCUCAGUGGUAGAGUGCUUGUCUUGCAUGCAUGAGGUCCUGGGUUCAAUUCCUCAGCACCA